rnacentral:rRNA from 1 species
UACGGAGGGGGCUAGCGUUGUUCGGAAUUACUGGGCGUAAAGCGCACGUAGGCGGCUUUGUAAGUUAGAGGUGAAAGCCCAGGGCUUAACCCUGGAAUUGCCUUUAAGACUGCAUCGCUAGAAUCGUGGAGAGGUGAGUGGAAUUCCGAGUGUAGAGGUGAAAUUCGUAGAUAUUCGGAAGAACACCAGUGGCGAAGGCGACUCACUGGACACGUAUUGACGCUGAGGUGCGAAAGCGUGGGGGAGCAAACAGGG